GACAGAGGGUGCAAACGUUGUUCGGAAUUACUGGGCGUAAAGCGCGUGUAGGCUGUUCUGCAAGUCGGGUGUGAAAGCCCCGGGCUCAACCUGGGAAGUGCACUCGAAACUGCAAGACUUGAGUCCUGGAGAGGAAGGCGGAAUUCUCGGUGUAGAGGUGAAAUUCGUAGAUAUCGAGAGGAACACCGGUGGCGAAGGCGGCCUUCUGGACAGUGACUGACGCUGAGACGCGAAAGCGUGGGGAGCGAACAGG
rnacentral:rRNA from 1 species